UACGUAGGGGGCGAGCGUUGUCCGGAUUUAUUGGGCGUAAAGAGCUCGUAGGCGGUUCGGUAAGUCGGAUGUGAAAUCUCCACGCUCAACGUGGAGGGGCCAUUCGAUACUGCCGUGACUCGAGUCCGGUAGGGGAGACUGGAAUUCUCGGUGUAGCAGUGAAAUGCGUAGAUAUCGAGAGGAACACCAGUGGCGAAGGCGAGUCUCUGGACAUUUCCUGACGCUGAGGCACGAAAGCCAGGGGAGCAAACGGG
rnacentral:rRNA from 1 species